GUGGGGAAUCUUGCGCAAUGGGCGAAAGCCUGACGCAGCCAUGCCGCGUGAAUGAUGAAGGUCUUAGGAUUGUAAAAUUCUUUCACCGGGGACGAUAAUGACGGUACCCGGAGAAGAAGCUCCGGCUAACUUCGUGCCAGCAGCCGCGGUAAUACGAAGGGGGCUAGCGUUGCGCGGAAUUACUGGGCGUAAAGGGCGCGUAGGCGGACAGCUUAGUCAGAGGUGAAAGCACAGGGCUCCACCUUGGAAUUGCCUUUGAUACUGGCUGGCUUGAAGUUGGGAGAGGUGAGUGGAACUCCGAGUGUAGAGGUGAAAUUCGUAGAUAUUCGGAAGAACACCAGUGGCGAAGGCGACUCACUGGCCCAAUACUGACGCUGAGACGCGAAAGCGUGGGGAGCAAACAGGAUUAGAAACCCCGGUAGUCC
rnacentral:rRNA from 1 species